GUGCUCGCUUCCGCAGCACAUAUGCUAAAACUGGACCCAUACAGAGAAGAUUAGCAUGUCCUCUGCUCAAGGAUGACAAUUGAAGAUGUAAAAUAAAUACCCCUCAG